CUAUUUUUUUGUUCUUUUAAGAAUAUUUAUUAAUGCAUAAAGAAGAUAAAAAUGGUAUUAUUAUACCAUUCAGUUAGACAUAGUCACCAAAAUCUAGAGCUAGAAAACCUGUUUUGGAGUCCUGUUUCCUUAGAAGACCAAUUUGAUAAACUCAGGUCUGUUUGGGAAGUGGAUGGAGUGAGCUAAGAAGGUUGCUUUCAGUGACAAUAUUUGAGAGAAGAAUAAGAAGAGAAAAUUCAACUUCAGAGAAAUGAACUGCUGCUCUUAAAGCAAGUUCCACGUAAUGCAAAGAAAUUCACACAGUUCUUUUCUUCCUUAUCACUACAAAUAAUAUAAUGUAAACAUCAAUAGUAUCUGAGUUCU
rnacentral:lncRNA from 1 species